UAAUUGCAUUGGUAUCUACUGUUAUAUUACUGUAGGCAGUAAUGUAUUAUUCCAGAGAGGUUGUGUUAAAAAAACUAAUAAUAAUAAUAAAAAAUUCAUUGAAACUAGAUGCAGACUAAAUAGAAAAUGCUUUAUUAUCAUUACUGUCAGGCUUCCCUCAUUCAGUGACUGGAGCUUUUACAAUAAUACCUUAAUAAGUAUAAAACUGCAGUGGAGUUUCUAAAUAGAGCAUAUUUGAAUGUUCUGUGUGCAUGUUACCUUUUCUAUAAGGUCAGCUUUUGGGAAACUCAGUAAUGUUCUUGAGCAUUCACUGAUUGCUUCACUUGAAUCCAAGGACACCCAGCAGUAAACAGCAGAGGACCCAGAGGAGAGCAAGCAAAGCUGAAUUAGGAGCAGUUUGAGCAUCUCCAGUUCCUGAAAGUUAUGGAUGCUCAAGACAUUCUGAAUUUAACUUAAUGAGAUUAGUCUUUUGCUUGAAUUCACUAAUCCGCAGUGACUACAAUAUAAAAUCUUGCAAUUCUGUUACAACAUACCACCUACUUGCUCUUUCUUGGCCUCACAAAUUGUUUCUCUGAGGGGCUGCUACGAAAGAAGAAUAUACUUUUAUACCAGGAACUACCAUUUAAGUUAUCUCCUUCCAUCCAUAAUGCUGUUUUACAGACUGAAAUAAGAAGAGCUGGUACUGUUAAAGGAGCUCUCUCAAUCCUUUUUACUGGUGUUUUCCUGGAAAAAAAAAGUCACAGUGUUUGUUUGUUUUACAGUAUAUUUUGUUUUAGUUUUACUUGUGUUCAGCAAAGAUUAUUGACACUGAAAAGUGAAAGCCUGAGAAGAAAUGGAGGAGCCCAGAAAAAAUACUGGAAAGAAAGAGAAAGAAGGAUUGAAAGAAAGUCAAGAGAGAAGUACGCUAAGAAGCUGAGAGACUAUUUCUGAAAGAAUUUCCCUGUUUUUUCCUGCUAAAUGACGUUUUAAAUAAGAGAGAAUUCAAGCUUCAGUUCCCAAAGAAGAGGGGCACCAAGAGAAUGGCCUGGUGGGAGCGCGUCUGUUAGCUGCGCCCAACUCACUGCAGCAUCAGAAACCGUUCACAGACACUCAGCCACUUCACUGGAAAGAAGUAGAUUGAACACAAGUAGCUUUGAGCUUUGCUCUUGUGAUUGAAGCCAGCUCACGUUUAGGUACCGCUGGACAAAACGGAACCGCGCGUCUCGAUAUCUGUCUCCCCUAGAGUAAGAAAUAGGUAGCAGUCCCUUAAUUCUUCUAACUUAGUUUAGAAUCAGUUAAUUAAUCAGUAGCUGUGACUAAUUACUCACUUCCAAUUAACCUGGAAACUGUUACAAAAUGAAGC
rnacentral:lncRNA from 1 species